rnacentral:rRNA from 1 species
UACGUAGGGUGCGAGCGUUAAUCGGAAUUACUGGGCGUAAAGCGCACGUAGGCGGCUUUCUAAGUCGGGGGGUGAAAUCCUGGAGCUCAACUCCAGAACUGCCUUCGAUACUGGAAAGCUCGAGUCCGGGAGAGGUGAGUGGAACUGCGAGUGUAGAGGUGAAAUUCGUAGAUAUUCGCAAGAACACCAGUGGCGAAGGCGGCUCACUGGCCCGGUACUGACGCUGAGGUGCGAAAGCGUGGGGAGCAAACAGG